rnacentral:rRNA from 1 species
AUGGCGAAAUGCUUCCUGGUGCUCGUCUUCAUGGCAUUUCUCCUGCCGGCGGCCUACGCGAUGUGCCACCCUGACGACCUCCAAGCGCCGCGGGGCUUNNNNNNUGAGGUACCCAAGGGUUUGACACUACUCAAGGGCCUCACCGUUGUCGAUCGUUCACUAGGUAUUGCUUUCACUAACUUGCUAUUUGUCAGAUCUGGGAGUGGCAAUAUUGUAUCUGGGAACGGCAACACUGUCGUAUCUGGGGACAACAAUAAUGUUUCUGGGAGCAACAACACAGUCACAUCUGGGAGCAGCAAUGUCAUAGUUGACAGCAACCAUGUCGUUACUGGGAGCAACAAUACUGUAUCGGGCAAUAACAAUAGGGUAACUGGGAACAAUAAUGUUGUAUCAGGGAGCAACCAAGUCGUGUCCGGGGACAACAAAGUCGUAACUGGCUAA